UAGUGGGGAUAACGUAGACGAAGUUACGCUAAUACCGCAUACGAUCCACGGAUGAAAGCAGGGGACCUUCGGGCCUUGUGCUAUACGAGCGGCCGAUGUCUGAUUAGCUAGUUGGUGAGGUAAAGGCUCACCAAGGCGACGAUCAGUAGCGGGUCUGAGAGGAUGAUCCGCCACACUGGGACUGAGACACGGCCCAGACUCCUACGGGAGGCAGCAGUGGGGAAUUUUGGACAAUGGGCGCAAGCCUUAUCCAGCCAUGCCGCGUGUCUGAAGAAGGCCUUCGGGUUGUAAAGGACUUUUGUCAGGGAGCAAAACUUACUGGUUAAUACCUGGUGAGGUUGAGAGUACCUGAAGAAUAAGCACCGGCUAACUACGUGCCAGCAGCCGCGGUAAUACGUAGGGUGCAAGCGUUAAUCGGAAUUACUGGGCGUAAAGCGUGCGCAGGCGGACUUUUAAGCCAGAUGUGAAAGCCCCGAGCUUAACUUGGGAAUUGCGUUUGGAACUGGGAGUCUAGAGUCUGUCAGAGGGGG
rnacentral:rRNA from 1 species